AAAAAUUUCUAUUUGUUAAAAUUUAAAUUUAUAAAAAAUUUAAAGUUUUUUUUUUAAUAUAAGGUUUUAUGCUGGCUAAAAAGAAUUUUGGAACCACAUGUUAAAAAAAAUAAGUGUAUUGUCAAAAAAGGAUCCAUAUUUUAAACGGAGCAAAGAUCAGAAGACGGAUAAAGUAAAAAAAAUAGUUUGCUAACAAGAUUGAUUAGUUGACGAAUGCAUACAUAUUAAUGUAGAAAAACAAUCUCCGAAAAAGUGUAUAGACGCUGCAGCUAUUCCGCGAUAUAUAACUAUCGUAGUAAUUAUCUGAGUCAAUCAAAUCCAGAAUUAGAGAUGCAGGAUACUGCAGUUUUUUAGUAUUUGCUAAUGGGUGGUAACAGUGGAAUUUGCGGAAAGAGUCGAACGAAUAUCGUUCACCGGAUGGGUGCCUGGACAGAAGAUAUCUCCGUCAAGGUGGUGAAGUUUUCUCAGGAAUUAGAGUCGGUUAGCGACACCAGAACAAAAAUUUCACCACGUAGAAUAAUAGAUGACCGUAAUCGACGGAUCAGAAUUCACCAACAGAUCGACUGUGAUUGCAAUGCUGAUACGUCUACGACGAAUAAAAAGCGGACGACGACGGCGACGACGACGACGGCAAUAUCAACCUCAAUUAAACUUAGAAAUAUUACUUUAAUUAUAAUUAAAAUUGUCUUCCAUCACGUGUUGAUCACCUUACUGUUAGUUUACAAAUUAACUCAUAAAAACACAACUAAUUUUAAUUUAAAAAUCACAAAAAUUAAUUAUUUGUGCGUGUAAACAAAACAGUAUCAACAACAAUAUUAUUGUUUUAACAAUAACAACAGUUUAUAAAGUGCUUCACAAAGUAUUUUUUAAUAUGGAACCAAAAUGGCCGCGUUCCGGUAAUGAAGCAAACAAUUUUACCGAAAAAGACAAUGAUGUAAAUAUUAACUUUAAUAACUGGGCAAAGAGCGAUAGAAAUUCUAUAAAUUCAGGAGCACUAACUGAAUUUGACCCCAGUUAUGUAAAUAAAAAAGAAGACAGCCUCAGUAUGACGGACAAGGAACAAGAAGAAGAAAGCAAUGAAGAAGCGAUUGAGUUUGUCAAUGAUAUAAUUUUCGAGCAAGUAAAACCUGUCGCUGAUUUUACCUUCAAUUUAGACGGCGAAAUUGAUUCUAAAAAUAAUUCCGAGGCUCCAAAGCGACCUGAUAGUCUGUUUGAUGCGCCGAUCAAGAACCAGCAGCUGGCAAACGGCACCAAUAAAUGUUUGAGAGUGAAGUUCAGCUCCAAGAAGCGGAAAAAGUCUUCUAGGUCGAAGAAAGAAAUCAGCAAGGAACAACCGAGCCCGUCUUCAAUUUCUACUUCUAGCUGCUCGCCAUCAACAGGAGUGAGUUCCGAUGAAGACAACUCGAGUUUCGAGCAGUUCGCGGAAGCGCGUCCGCCUGACGGAGGCUGGGGCUGGGUGGUCGUCGCGGCGGCUUUUAUGGUCAACUUAAUAGCCGACGGAAUCACCUUUUCAUUCGGAGUGAUUUAUGUGGAGUUUUUGAACUACUUCGGCGAGGGAAAGUCCAAGACCGCGUGGAUCGGGUCGCUGUUCAUGGCAAUGCCACUGCUGUCGGGACCGGUAGCGAGUUUCUUGACGGACCGGUACGGGUGUAGAAGAGUUUCAAUAGCAGGAAGUAUUUUAGCGACGUUGGGGUUUGUGAUAAGCUCCUUUACAAGUUCAAUGGGCGUGCUGAUCUUCACCUUUGGAGUGGUAGCAGGCUUUGGUUUAUCACUGUGCUUCGUAGCGGCAGUGGUGAUCGUUGCUUACUACUUCGACAAGAAGAGAUCUUUUGCCACGGGUCUCUCUGUCUGCGGGAGCGGGAUCGGGACCUUCAUCUUCGCCCCGGUGACGCAGUACUUGCUGGCGGAGUACGGCUGGCGAGGAACUACGCUGAUUCUCGCGGGGCUGUUUUUUAAUUUGGCUGUCUGCGGGUGUCUCAUGCGGGACCUGGAGUGGACGACAGUCCGGGCCAAGGCCAAAUCUGAAGAGCGCAAGCGGAAUAGAGAACGCAAGAGGACCACCAGGUUGCAGAGCUCCAGCGUUGAUUCUUUCUCAGCGAGUUUGUCUAUUAACACAACGAAUCAAGCGCCGCACAUCGGGAACUCGGUCUCUGCUAAUCCAGUGGACGCUGACUGUCUCAGGAGGAUCCACAAGGAAGACAACAACGGCAAGCUCUUUUCUAGUCUUCUUACCUUGCCGACGUUCUUGAAGAACGGAGACCAGGUUCCUCUGGAGGUCCUUGAUCUUCUGUCGACGCGUAAAGAUGUUUAUAAUGUCUUGAUGCACAACUAUCCCAGGCUCUUGACUUCCUCAAGGAGCAUCAGCGACUCCGCGACGCUAAAUGACAUGGCAAACUGCCCAACUGUGACCGGCAGCCCUCACAGUCUAGACACCCAGCAGACUACUCAUCAAAAACAGUUCAAGUUUCUUAAUAAACAGCACAAACAUAUUAGCAAAAAAUUAAAUACUGUUAAGUUAAGUUCAGAUAAAGUUUCGAGCUCGGAACUCCAGAACAACGACGAAAUUGCCUUCAACAUUGCUUAUUUAUGGUGGCUCAAUAAAAACGACGCUGGUCCUUUAAAAAGAUCCGCGACUCUUGAGACACAUCGGAGAGUCGCACCGGCUUAUUUAAAAAAUGUCAGAGUUCACAGACACAGUCUGACUUACCGGGGUGCUAUGCUCAAUAUCAAUAGAUACCGCUUACGGGCAUCCAGUUGUCCGGAUAUUUAUAGAAAUUCAAUGACAACUAUUGCUAAGACUAAAUUUGUCUGGUACUCUGGUCUCUGGGAGUUUUGGGAUCUGCUCGUAGACAUGCUUGACUUUUCUCACUUUGCUGUUUCUAAGUUUCUUCUCUUUUCCAUCAGCAAUUUUCUGCUACACACUUGGUACGACGUGCCUUAUGUUUAUCUUACCGACAAUGCUAUUGAGAUGGGCUUCAGUGAGACCGAUGCGUCGAUUUUGAUUUCUGUUAUUGGAAUCGCUAAUAUGUUUGGCGAGAUUUUUCUUGGAUGGGCUGGAGACAGAGCGUGGGUUAACGCGUCAAUUGUCUACGCGCUUUGCAUGAUUUGUUGUGGUAUCGCUACUAGCUUAAUACCACUCGUUGAUGGUAAUUAUUAUGCACUAUGCUCGGUAGCAGGAGCUUUUGGAAUAUUUAUCGCUGCGAAUUACAGUCUUACGAGUAUUAUACUUGUUGAAGUUAUUACACUUGAACGAUUUACCAAUGCUUAUGGGUUACUUCUUCUUGUUCAAGGGAUUGCUAAUCUCAUGGGUCCACCUUUAGCUGGCUGGCUCUAUGACAUUACCGGAACGUAUGAUUUAUCAUUUUAUCUCGCGGGAUUUUUCAUUGCUCUGAGCGGUGUUCUUCUGAUGGUAGUGCCGCUAAUGGGUUAUUACAAAAAAUGCAUUAGUAGAAAUAAUGCUGACGUACCAAGAGAUGAAUUAUCUGAAAUAAAUAGUGUAUGAAUUGAAUAUUUAUAUUGAAGAUAAGAAAAAAAUAAUUAACAAUUUUAUUAAAAGGAAGAAUCCCGAUGAUGACAUUUCAGUGCGCAAGAGCUAAGCAUAAAUAUUACCAGGCUUGCGCGACGAGUCUAAGGCAUUUCACAAU
rnacentral:misc_RNA from 1 species